rnacentral:rRNA from 1 species
UACGUAGGGUGCGAGCGUUGUCCGGAAUUAUUGGGCGUAAAAGGGCUCGUAGGCGGUUUGUCGCGUCGGGAGUGAAAUCCACUGGCUUAACUGGUGGCUUGCUUUCGAUACGGGCAGACUGGAGGUAUGCAGGGGAGAACGGAAUUCCUGGUGUAGCGGUGAAAUGCGCAGAUAUCAGGAGGAACACCGGUGGCGAAGGCGGUUCUCUGGGCAUGUCCUGACGCUGAGGAGCGAAAGUGUGGGAGCGAACAGG